AGAGUUUGAUCCUGGCUCAGGAUGAACGCUAGCGGCAGGCCUAAUACAUGCAAGUCGAACGAGAUUAGUAGCAAUACUAUGAAAGUGGCGCACGGGUGCGUAACACGUAUGCAAUCUACCUUUAAUUGGAGCAUAGCCUCGAGAAAUCGGGAUUAAUACUCCAUAACAUUAUGAAAUGGCAUCAUUUUAUAAUUAAACCUCCGGGGAUUAAAGAUGAGCAUGCGCAACAUUAGCUAGUUGGUAAGGUAAUGGCUUACCAAGGCUACGAUGUUUAGGGGGUCUGAGAGGAUGAUCCCCCACACUGGUACUGAGACACGGACCAGACUCCUACGGGAGGCAGCAGUAGGGAAUAUUGGGCAAUGGAGGAAACUCUGACCCAGCCAUGCCGCGUGCAGGAUGACGGCCCUCUGGGUUGUAAACUGCUUUUAUACGGGAAGAAAAAAUGCUACGUGUAGCACAUUGACGGUACCGUAAGAAUAAGGAUCGGCUAACUCCGUGCCAGCAGCCGCGGUAAUACGGAGGAUCCAAGCGUUGUCCGGAUUUAUUGGGUUUAAAGGGUGCGUAGGCGGAUUUUUAAGUCAGUGGUGAAAGCCUGCAGCUCAACUGUAGAACAGCCAUUGAAACUGAAGAUCUUGAAUAUGGUUAAAGUAGGCGGAAUGUAUCAUGUAGCGGUGAAAUGCUUAGAUAUGAUACAGAACACCGAUAGCGAAGGCAGCUUGCUGAACCAUUAUUGACGCUGAGGCACGAAAGCGUGGGGAGCAAACAGGAUUAGAUACCCUGGUAGUCCACGCCCUAAACGUUGAUUACUCGUUGUUGGCGAUAUACUGUCAGCGACUAAGCUAAAGCGUUAAGUAAUCCACCUGGGAAGUACGACCGCAAGGUUGAAACUCAAAGGAAUUGACGGGGGCCCGCACAAGCGGAGGAGCAUGUGGUUUAAUUCGAUGAUACGCGAGGAACCUUACCUGGGCUUGAAAGUUAGUGACCGCCUCUGAAAGGAGGCUUCUCUUCGGAGCACAAAACUAGGUGCUGCAUGGCUGUCGUCAGCUCGUGCCGUGAGGUGUUGGGUUAAGUCCCGCAACGAGCGCAACCCCUUUCUUUAGUUGCCAUCAGGUUAUGCUGGGGACUCUAAAGAUACUGCCUAUGUAAAUAGUGAGGAAGGUGGGGACGACGUCAAGUCAUCAUGGCCCUUACGUCCAGGGCUACACACGUGCUACAAUGGCAGUCACAGAUGGAAGCUACUUAGUGAUAAGAUGCUAAUCCCAAAAAGAUUGUCUCAGUUCGGAUUGAAGUCUGCAACUCGACUUCAUGAAGCUGGAUUCGCUAGUAAUCGCAUAUCAGCAAUGAUGCGGUGAAUACGUUCCCGGGCCUUGUACACACCGCCCGUCAAGCCAUGGAAGAUGGGAGUACCUAAAGUCGAUAACCGCAAGGAGUCGCCUAGGGUAAUACCGUUGACUGGGGCUAAGUCGUAACAAGGUAGCCGUACCGGAAGGUGUGGCUG
rnacentral:rRNA from 1 species